GUGUCAGCCGCCGCGGUAAUACGAAGGGGGCUAGCGUUGUUCGGAAUCACUGGGCGUAAAGCGCACGUAGGCGGAUCUUUAAGUCAGGGGUGAAAUCCCGAGGCUCAACCUCGGAACUGCCUUUGAUACUGGGGAUCUCGAGUCCGGGAGAGGUGAGUGGAACUGCGAGUGUAGAGGUGAAAUUCGUAGAUAUUCGCAAGAACACCAGUGGCGAAGGCGGCUCACUGGCCCGGAACUGACGCUGAGGUGCGAAAGCGUGGGGAGCAAACAGGAUUAGAAACCCCUGUAGUCC
rnacentral:rRNA from 1 species